AGUAAAAGUCGUAACAAGGUUUCCGUAGGUGAACCUGCGGAAGGAUCAUUACAGAGUUCAUGCCCUUCGGGGUAGAUCUCCCACCCUUGUAUACCAUUAUCAAAUGUUGCUUUGGCGGGCCGUGAGCCUGGCUUGCCCGGAUUCGCGUCCGGCGUGCCCGCCAGAGGACCCAUAAACUCUGAAUGUUAGUGUCGUCUGAGUACUAUUAAAUAGUUAAAACUUUCAACAACGGAUCUCUUGGUUCUGGCAUCGAUGAAGAACGCAGCGAAAUGCGAUAAGUAAUGUGAAUUGCAGAAUUCAGUGAAUCAUCGAAUCUUUGAACGCACAUUGCGCCCCUUGGUAUUCCGGGGGGCAUGCCUGUUCGAGCGUCAUUAAUACCAAUCUAGCCCGGCUAGGUGUUGGGCCUCGCCGUUGGGCGGGCCUUAAAAUCAGUGGCGGUGCUUCUCAGCUCUACGCGUAGUAAAUCUCCUCGCUACAGGGCCUGUGAAGUUGCUGGCCAGCAACCCCGAAUUUUUCUAGGUUGACCUCGGAUCAGGUAGGGAUACCCGCUGAACUUAAGCAUAUCAAUAAGCGGAGGAAAAGAAACCAACAGGGAUUGCCUCAGUAACG
rnacentral:rRNA from 1 species